GGAUGGUUGGCAGAGCGAUUUAUUGCGGCAGUUUCGAAAACUGUUGAUCGACAAACGUUGAUCCGAAAGUUUGAAUCUUUCACCAUCCG
rnacentral:tRNA from 1 species